AGUAAAUGUGAGCUGAGCCCUAAAUGAAAGCGCGCUCAAACCCUUGGGACUGUUCCGUUCCGAGUCAACAUAUUCCCUCUCUAUAAACGUAUUAGGAUUGGGUUUGAUGUUUUUUUGUAACCACCUUUGGCAGACUCCCUGAACUUAAUAGGUUUAAACAAUGUUUUAAAGGUAAACAUCUAGUGGCUUGGAUAUAGAAACCUGCCCAUUUGCAAACAGACUCACUGGCAAACAGCUGGACAGACUGCCUUAUCCAGAGAAGAAUUCGAAUCCUUGGCUUCGACUUGAGGGUGAUUGGAGAACGCCUCCCUGGGCAGAGAAGUGAAGGAAAAAGUGAGCCAUAUGGUCGUCAGAGGUCAAGAAGAACAGCAUUCUCCGACGGGGCAACGAUGAGACCUUUGACAUGUAAUUGGAGAAAGCAAGCAAGCCAAUAGAACCGUAACAGUGUGAUCCCCAGGACAAGUGAACAUGCGGUGCGCAUGGAGAGAGAAUAGUUAUAUGGAGGUGGGGCUAUGUGGAGCCCUGAAGGUCAGGGUAAG
rnacentral:lncRNA from 1 species